rnacentral:rRNA from 1 species
UACGAAGGGAGCUAGCGUUGUUCGGAAUUACUGGGCGUAAAGGGCGCGUAGGCGGCUUCGCUAGUCGGGCGUGAAAUGCCUGGGCUCAACCCAGGAAUUGCGCUCGAUACUGCGAGGCUUGAGUGUGGGAGAGGAUGGUGGAAUUCCCAGUGUAGAGGUGAAAUUCGUAGAUAUUGGGAAGAACACCAGCGGCGAAGGCGGCCAUCUGGACCACAACUGACGCUGAGGCGCGAAAGCGUGGGGAGCAAACAGG